CAGGCUUAACACAUGCAAGUCGAGGGGCAGCAUUUUAGUUUGCUUGCAAACUAAAGAUGGCGACCGGCGCACGGGUGAGUAACACGUAUCCAACCUGCCGAUAACUCGGGGAUAGCCUUUCGAAAGAAAGAUUAAUAUCCGAUGGUAUAUUAAAACCGCAUGGUUUUACUAUUAAAGAAUUUCGGUUAUCGAUGGGGAUGCGUUCCAUUAGUUUGUUGGCGGGGUAACGGCCCACCAAGACUACGAUGGAUAGGGGUUCUGAGAGGAAGGUCCCCCACAUUGGAACUGAGACACGGUCCAAACUCCUACGGGAGACAGCAGUGAGGAAUAUUGGUCAAUGGACGAGAGUCUGAACCAGCCAAGUAGCGUGAAGGAUGACUGCCCUAUGGGUUGUAAACUUCUUUUAUAUGGGAAUAAAGUAUUCCACGUGUGGGAUUUUGUAUGUACCAUAUGAAUAAGGAUCGGCUAACUCCGUGCCAGCAGCCGCGGUAAUACGGAGGAUCCGAGCGUUAUCCGGAUUUAUUGGGUUUAAAGGGAGCGUAGGUGGAUUGUUAAGUCAGUUGUGAAAGUUUGCGGCUCAACCGUAAAAUUGCAGUUGAAACUGGCAGUCUUGAGUACAGUAGAGGUGGGCGGAAUUCGUGGUGUAGCGGUGAAAUGCUUAGAUAUCACGAAGAA
rnacentral:rRNA from 1 species